rnacentral:rRNA from 1 species
AGCCUGAACGCUGGCGGCGUGGCUAAGACAUGCAAGUCGUACGGUGUAGCAAUACACAGUGGCGAACGGGUGAGUAAUGAAUCGCUAAUGUACCCCGGACUCUGGGAUAGCUGCCCGAAAGGGCAGGUAAUACCAGAUGAUAUAUUCCUUCCGCAUGGUUGGAAUCUCAAAGGUCCGCCGGUCUGGGAGCAGGCGAUUUUGUAUCAGCUAGUUGGUGAGGUAACGGCUCACCAAGGCGAUGACGCAUAGCCGGACUGAGAGGUUGGCCGGCCACAUUGGGACUGAGACACUGCCCAGACUCCUACGGGGGGCUGCAGUAACGAAUCUUCCGCAAUGCACGAAAGUGUGACGGAGCGACGCCGCGUGUGGGACGAAGCCCUUCGGGUGUAAACCACUGUCAGAGGAUAGAAAGUUCUGAUCAUCCUCAGAGGAAGGCACGGCUAACUCUGUGCCAGCAGCCGC